CAUAAUGUGGUCUCCAUGGAAACAUCAAUUGAAAAACAACACCUUGAAUUGUUUAGUUUAUUAUAACUAAUGCUGACAUUACCCUCUGCUUUUACAACGAGAAAUCACCUAUUAAUGGGUCAGACAUUGGACACAAAAGCACUUUAGAAAAUCCAGAGCUGGUUUUUGAUCCCAGGUCAAGACUAUGCAGAACUCUGAUGUCUCUGAUCCUCCCAGGUUGGAUCUCUUUAACCUGUAAACCUCCACCUUCAACACCACCAGUCAGGAGGAGGCAGAUAAAGGAACCCAGUUGAAAAAAUAACUGAAACUAAACUCACAACUCCCUCUGGUGGUCUGGAGUAAUAACAAGUUAACAUGGACAGAAACUAAAUCAAUAUACUACAGUGGGAAUGCAUGACUGAGACAAAACGACAGCACUGGGCCAACCAGGAGAGAGAAGACACAUUAACAUUCAAU